rnacentral:rRNA from 1 species
GGAUUAGAUACCCUGGUAGUCCACGCCGUAAACGAUGUCUAUUAGAAGUCUGUGUCCUUGAGACGUGGGUUUCAAAGCUAACGCAUUAAAUAGACCGCCUGGGGAGUACGGCCGCAAGGUUAAAACUCAAAUGAAUUGACGGGGGCCCGCACAAGCGGUGGAGCAUGUGGUUUAAUUCGAUGCAACGCGAAGAACCUUACCUACUCUUGACAUCCAGCGAACUUUUCAGAGAUGAAUUGGUGCCUUCGGGAACGCUGAGACAGGUGCUGCAUGGCUGUCGUCAGCUCGUGUUG